rnacentral:rRNA from 1 species
GACGAACGCUGGCGGCGUGCUUAACACAUGCAAGUCGAACGGGUCUGCCCUGUUUUUUGCGGGGUGGGUCAGUGGCGAACGGGUGAGUAACACGUGAGUAACCUGCCCCUCACUUCUGGAUAACCGCUUGAAAGGGUGGCUAAUACGGGGUGUUCUUGCUGUGCCGCAUGGUGUGGCUGGGAAAGAUUCCCUUUUGUGGUGUUUUGGUGGGGGAUGGGCUCGCGGCCUAUCAGCUUGUUGGUGGGGUGAUGGCCUGCCAAGGCUUUGACGGGUAGCCGGCCUGAGAGGGUGGGCGGGCACACUGGGACUGAGAUACGGCCCAGACUCCUGCGGGAGGCAGCAGUGGGGGGUAUUGCACAAUGGGCGGAAGCCUGAUGCAGCGACGUCGCGUGAGGGAUGGAGGCCUUCGGGUUGUGAACCUCUUUCGCCGGUGAAGAAGGUCCUGCUCUUUGUGGUGGGGUGGACGGUAGCCGGGUUAUGAAGCGCCGGCUAACUACGUG